AGAGGAGAUAUCUAAAACAGGGCCCAGUGCAUAUAGGGAAAGGGUGGAUGUGGAUAUUCAUGUCUAAUGGCUCCUCUCUCCCCUCACCAGCUCAGUCUGCUCCCUGGAUUCCAGCAAGUCCCCAGGAAGGGAGUACCGGGGACUGGGAGAUGGCAGCUGCACUUCUUGCAGCCGGAUCACAGAAAAGGAAAGGUCAAGUGGAGGAAGGAGGCUGUGGUACAGUCUGCGAGAAAGAAUAAGGCAGGUAAGAAGGGAUUGAGUAGACGCCUGUAGUUGAACAGAGGGCGUACCUCUGACUUCUAAGCACACUUGGGAAACUCCUGUGGUGACAUCACCCUCACUCCUUUUCUCUUUACUAAACUGUGUGC
rnacentral:lncRNA from 1 species